UAAACACAUUUCCGCACACAUGAAGAUGGAUGACGAUAGUUCAUCUUAAAAUGAAACUUAUGUUUAUCAGCUUACCCCCAGGCCAUCCAAGAGAUGCUCUUAAGAACAACGCCCUGAUGUCCAAGGUCAACCAGCAAGAAGCUGAGAAGGCACUGCCAAAAUGGUUUACUGGGGCAAGGGACAGAGGAGGACAGAGAGCAUCAAGAAAGCAGAAAAGGAUGUCUGUUUGAGAAAGGUUAAAACUACAGUUGUUGAUUUGAACUGUUGUAGUUCUUUAAUUUUUCUUAAAGGAAACACAAUCAUUUUUCAAUAUUUA